GUUAGGAUUAGAGCCCUGCACUUGGUGUGUGAUUCCUCCUGGGACCUGAGGGAUGAAUUGUGGUCCUCAGUAAAACAGACACUCUCCUUCUCCUCUCAUGAAUACACUGUGAACACUGCACUCUGUCCUGCUGCAGAGACAAACAUUCAAACACCUGGGCUAAGGGCGGCUUUACCAUUGGACUCAGGAAGAUCUACUUGCUCUGAUUGAUGCACAUCACCGCAUAACCAAACAUUGUUGUGACCCCACUGGAGCAUUGGAGUACAUAGCAGGUCACCUGGUUUAUGGGAGCCACAUGUCAGACCAUGCUGAUCUAGCAGCUGUGCAGAGUGUGAUCAGGGCUUCUCUAAGAGAUCCAUCUACAUUAUGGGGGCGUGGCCAACACAUUCUCUUGGAUAUGAUUAACUUUACAGGAAGAUUUGAAGCUGGGGGCCAGUUGAAAGACUUGAGACGUCGUAUUCAGUGCAUUACUAGCUGUACAGACCCACCC